rnacentral:rRNA from 1 species
UACGUAGGGUGCGAGCGUUGUCCGGAAUUACUGGGCGUAAAGAGCUCGUAGGUGGUUUGUCGCGUUGUUCGUGAAAACUCACAACUCAAUUGUGGGCGUGCGGGCGAUACGGGCAGACUGGAGUACUGCAGGGGAGACUGGAAUUCCUGGUGUAGCGGUGGAAUGCGCAGAUAUCAGGAGGAACACCGGUGGCGAAGGCGGUUCUCUGGGAAUGAUCCUGACGCUGAGGAGCGAAAGCGUGGGGAGCGAACAGG